rnacentral:rRNA from 1 species
GAUGAACGCUAGCGGCAGGCUUAAUACAUGCAAGUCGAGGGGCAGCAUGAUUGUAGCAAUACAAUUGAUGGCGACCGGCAAACGGGUGCGGAACACGUACACAACCUUCCAACAAGUGGGGGAUAGCCCAGAGAAAUUUGGAUUAAUACCCCGUAACAUAGCGAUGUGGCAUCACAUUGCUAUUAUAGAUUUUUCGCUUGUUGAUGGGUGUGCGGCUGAUUAGGUAGUUGGCGGGGUAACGGCCCACCAAGUCUACGAUCAGUAGCUGAUGUGAGAGCAUGAUCAGCCACACAGGCACUGAGACACGGGCCCGACUCCUACGGGAGGCAGCAGUAAGGAAUAUUGGACAAUGGACGCAAGUCUGAUCCAGCCAUGCCGCGUGAAGGAUUGAGGUCCUCUGGAUUGUAAACUUCUUUUAUAAGGGACGAAAAAAGGCUUUUCUAAGUCGUCUGACGGUACCUUAUGAAUAAGCACCGGCUAACUCCGUGCCAGCCGCCGCGGUAAUAC